CACGUAGUUAGCCGUGGCUUUCUGAUUAGGUACCGUCAAGAUGUGCACAGUUACUUACACAUUUGUUCUUCCCUAAUAACAGAGUUUUACGAGCCGAAACCCUUCAUCACUCACGCGGCGUUGCUCCGUCAGGCUUUUCGCCCAUUGCGGAAGAUUCCCUACUGCUGCCUCCCGUAGGAGUCUGGACCGUGUCUCAGUUCCAGUCGUGGCCGAUCACCCUCUCAGGUCGGCUACGUAUCGUCGCCUUGGUAAGCCGUUACCUUACCAACUAGCUAAUACGGCGCGGGUCCAUCUAUAAGUGAUAGCAAAACCAUCUUUCACUUUAGAACCAUGCGGUUCUAAAUAUUAUCCGGUAUUAGCUUCCGGUUCCCGAAGUUAUCGCAGUCUUAGUAGGUAGGUUACCCACGUUGUUACUCACCCCGUCCGCCGCUAACUUCGAAAGAGCAAGCUCCUUAUCUGUUCGCUCGACUUGCUAAUGUUAUUAGGCACGUCCGCCUAGCCGUUUCACUCCUGUACGCCAGGACUACAAAC
rnacentral:rRNA from 1 species